rnacentral:rRNA from 1 species
UGCGAUCUCCUACGGGAGGCAGCAGUAGGGAAUCUUCGGCAAUGGACGGAAGUCUGACCGAGCAACGCCGCGUGAGUGAAGAAGGUUUUCGGAUCGUAAAGCUCUGUUGUAAGAGAAGAACGAGUAUGAGAGUGGAAAGUUCAUACUGUGACGGUAUCUUACCAGAAAGGGACGGCUAACUACGUGCCAGCAGCCGCGGUAAUACGUAGGUCCCGAGCGUUGUCCGGAUUUAUUGGGCGUAAAGCGGGCGCAGGAGGUUAGAUAAGUCUGAAGUUAAGGGCUGUGGCUUAACCAUAGUACGCUUUGGAAACUGUGUAACUUGAGUGCAAGAGGGGAGAGUGGUAUUCCAUGUGUAGCGGUGAAAUGCGUAGAUAUAUGGAGGAACACCGGUGGCGAAAGCGGCUCUCUGGCUUGUAACUGACGCUGAGGCUCGAAAGCGUGGGGAGCAAACAGGAUUAGAUACCCUUGUAGUCCAGAAGUG